rnacentral:rRNA from 1 species
CAGCAGCCACGGGAAUACGGAGGGUGCAAGCGUUAAUCGGAAUUACUGGGCGUAAAGCGCACGCAGGCGGUCUGACAAGUCAGAUGUGAAAUCCCCGGGCUUAACCUGGGAACUGCAUUUGAAACUGUCAGGCUGGAGUCUUGUAGAGGGGGGUGGAAUUCCAGGUGUAGCGGUGAAAUGCGUAGAGAUCUGGAGGAAUACCGGUGGCGAAGGCGGCCCCCUGGACAAAGACUGACGCUCAGGUGCGAAAGCGUGGGGAGCAAACAGGAUUAGAUACCCGGUAGUCCCUGUCUCUUAUACA